GUCCACGGCCAUACUACCAUGAACGCACCCAAUCUUGUCUGAUUUCGGAAGCUAAGCAGGGUUGGGCCUGGUUAGUACUUGGAUGAGAGAAAGAAUAAGUUUAGAGAUAUAAUGUACAGCAUGAAGACUAUGGGUA
rnacentral:rRNA from 1 species